rnacentral:rRNA from 1 species
UACGUAGGGUGCAAGCGUUUGUCCGGAAUUAUUGGGCGUAAAGAGCUCGUAGGUGGUUUGUCGCGUUGUCCGUGAAAACUCACAACUCAAUUGUGGGCGUGCGGGCGAUACGGGCAGACUGGAGUACUGCAGGGGAGACUGGAAUUCCUGGUGUAGCGGUGGAAUGCGCAGAUAUCAGGAGGAACACCGGUGGCGAAGGCGGGUCUCUGGGCCGAUACUGACGCUGAGGAGCGAAAGCGUGGGGAGCGAACAGG